UACGGAGGAGGCAAGCGUUAUCCGGAAUUAUUGGGCGUAAAGAGCUCGUAGGCGGCUUGUUGCGUCGACUGUGAAAACCCGCGGCUUAACUGCGGGCUUGCAGUUGAUACGGGCAGGCUAGAGUUCGGUAGGGGAGACUGGAAUUCCUGGUGUAGCGGUGAAAUGCGCAGAUAUCAGGAAGAACACCCGUGGCUAAGGCGGUUCUCUAGUACGGUACUGACGCUGAGACGCGAAAGCGUGGGGAGCGAACAGG
rnacentral:rRNA from 1 species